ensembl:lncRNA
CAAAAAGCAGGCUCCAAAUCCUAAAUCCAUUUGUGCAUAACCGAGUCACCGUUCUCAAAACGUCAGCCCUGAGAAGCAAACGAGCUGAGUUAGAGCUUCUUUCUUGCUGAAUCAGGGGCUGGCACAGAGCAGUGUGUGUCUUCAGUGAAAGGCAAACUGACUCUGAUGCUCUGGGCCUAAAGAAAAGCAACGUGGAGGAAGAAAGAAAGAGAAAUCUCGACCUCACUGGUCCUUCCCAGCAAUCUGUUGCUCCAGCAACUGAAAAAUCAAACAAUGAUGUCAAGAAGAUGCAGCCAGCCACGCUAAACCCGAUGUCCAGUUGCUGGAGCAACUCGUUGUUAAAGCAAUUAGCCCAUGCUCAUUACUGGACGUAUGGG